GGGAGGGUGUUACAGGUCCUAGGAAAUUAUAAGCUCAACUAUUAAACUUUUGGAUGAAUGAGAGCAGACAAAUGCUAAGCAAGUUGACGCCUAAAAUGCCAACAACCAAGUUCAACACAUCUGCUGGCUAAACCCACAUUGGGCCCCAAAUGUAACCUGAAUGCAAGUAUCUUUCAUGAGUCUUGUAAGACUAGUUAUGACGAUGUUCUAAGGGAUUCGACUGGGUCCUUUGUUUUAAGAAUUUCAGGGUUUCAAACUACAGUUUUCCAACAAAAAAUUAAUGAGGUAAUUAGAUUAGGCAGACACUUACUUGGCUUCACAAUUGUAAUAUGAGAGAUAUAUAGAAGGAGGUUGUUGU
rnacentral:misc_RNA from 1 species